rnacentral:tRNA from 1 species
GGCCCGUUCGUCUAGCGGUUCAGGACGACAGGUUCUCAACCUGUAAACGGGGGUUCGAUUCCCCCACGGGUCAC